rnacentral:rRNA from 1 species
UACAGAGGGUGCGAGCGUUUAAUCGGAGUUACUGGGCGUAAAGGGCGCGUAGGCGGUUGUUUAAGUGAGAUGUGAAAUCCCUGGGCUUAACCUAGGAACUGCAUCUCAUACUGGGCAGCUAGAGUAUUGUAGAGGGUAGUGGAAUUUCCGGUGUAGCGGUGAAAUGCGUAGAGAUCGGAAGGAACACCAGUGGCGAAGGCGGCUACCUGGACAAAUACUGACGCUGAGGCGCGAAAGCGUGGGGAGCAAACAGG